GUGGGGCUCCUGUACGAAGAGGGUGUUCGCAAGGCCCAGAGCAGCGACUCCAGCAAGAGGACUUUCUCCGUGUACAGCAGCUCUCGGCAGCAGGGCCGCUACGCCCCCAGCUAUACCCCCAGUGCCCCGAUGGACACCAACCUCUUGAGCAAUAUCCAGAAGCUAUUCUCUGAACGUAUUGAUGUGUUCAGCCCUGUGGAGUUCAACAAGAUGACGGCGCUAAUAUUGUAUCCCUCCCUUCUUAUCUGGCCCCGGAGACUUUCUGCCUCAUCCCAGCUACUUCCAUCGUGUCGGUGCUGACCGGCAUCAUCAAGAUCAGCCUGAAGACGCUGCUGGAGUGUGUGCGGCUGCGCACCUUUGGGCGCUUCGGGCUGCAGCAGGUGCAAGUGGACUGCCACUUUCUGCAGCUCUACCUGUGGCGUUUUGUGGCCGACGAAGAACUCGUGCACUUGCUGCUGGACGAAGUGGUGGCCUCUGCUGCCCUGCGCUGCCCAGACCCUGUGCCCAUGGAGCCCAGUGUGGUUGAGGUCAUCUGCGAGCGCGGCUAGGCGCAGCCGCUGCCAUGCACCGGUCUGUCCCUGCACCCCAUGGCACCCAGGAUCUGGUCUCGGUGGUCCUUCCCCGCAGGCAGGU
rnacentral:lncRNA from 1 species